rnacentral:rRNA from 1 species
CCUACGGGUGGCAGCAGUGAGGAAUAUUGGUCAAUGGACGAGAGUCUGAACCAGCCACGUAGCGUGAAGGAUGACUGCCCUAUGGGUUGUAAACUUCUUUUAUAUGGGAAUAAAACAGGGUAUGCAUACCCUCUUGUAUGUACCAUAUGAAUACGGAUCGGCUAACUCCGUGCCAGCAGCCGCGGUAAUACGGAGGAUCCGAGCGUUGUCCGGAUUUAUUGGGUUUAAAGGGAGCGUAGGUGGAUUGUUAAGUCAGUUGUGAAAGUUUGCGGUUCAACCGUAAAAUUGCAGUUGAAACUGGCAGGCUUGAGUACAGUAGAGGUGGGCGGAAUUCGUGGUGUAGCGGUGAAAUGCGUAGAUAUCACGAAGAACUCCGAUUGCGAAGGCAGCUCACUGGACUGCAACUGACACUGAUGCGCGAAAGUGUGGGGAUCAAACAGGAUUAGAUACCCUGGUAGUC